UACAGAGGGGGCAAGCGUUGUUCGGAAUUACUGGGCGUAAAGGGCGCGUAGGCGGCCUGUUAAGUCGAACGUGAAAUCCCCGGGCUCAACCCGGGAACUGCGUCCGAUACUGGCAGGCUUGAAUCCGGGAGAGGGAUGCGGAAUUCCUGGUGUAGCGGUGAAAUGCGUAGAGAUGUGGAGGAACACCGAUGGCGAAGGCAGCCUCCUGGGCCAAUACUGACGCUGAGGAGCGAAAGCGUGGGGAGCGAACAGGA
rnacentral:rRNA from 1 species